GUAUAAAUGGCUCUUACAGUAGCUACUGUUCUGCAGUCCUCAUGGAAGAGCAGCCAUCCAGGAUUCUUCCAUCUCUGGGUAAUCUGUGUGCAGAAAAUUGACAGUCUCCCUCCCAAUCAUGAGAUAGAUAUUAUCUCCUUGUCUACAGAAUGAUGAAUUUAAACAUUUUGUUAAACUUACCCAAGCUCAGACAGGAGACCUGUUGCAGAACUUUUUCAUCAUUACAGAAACACCAGAAAAGGCCAUAGAUGAUUUAUUGGAGGAUGGAAAUAUGAGUUUGGAAAAGAAUAUCUGGAUCUGGAAUUGUGCGGUUUUUUUUAAUGGUCAGUUCUGCACAACUGCUUUCUUCUUGGAGAUGA